AAUAACCCAUCAGCGACCAAACACUCGGAUCUUGAGCGUGUGCGGGUCGGGUCAUCGGGCUGUAGCCUUGAACACAGUCGUUUUGAGGCCAUUAAUUUGGCCUAAAACGGUGACGUCUGAAGGGCCCUUAUGGUCACCGCAAGAAACCCUAGAAGGGUCUGCAGCCAUUUCUAAAAGCAAGAAAGAAAAAAAAACUAGGGUGCCCCCAACCUUUUUUCGUUUAACAACCCUUCGAAGGUCGGUUCUCCUGCCUCUCCUUUCGAUUCGUUCGAGAGUCAAUCAAGGCUUCAUCGAACCUAAAGACUCGUGUGUCUUGCUCACGAACCCCGAAUCGCCACUUGGUUUCGAUCGUGGCGAAACAAGCGAGGAUUCGAAGGCAUCAAACGCGGGUAAAUUUCGUUUCCUUUUUCUUACUACAUUCGAUCAAGAAAAAAAGGUAAAUAAGAGAGGAAGAGAGAAAUAAGGGAAGAAAAUUGUGAAUGAAUUACCUUGUUUGUUUUCUUUCUAUUCUGGUUGUUUUUUCUUUUGUGUAUAUUGCCUUUAUAUGUAAGAAGGGAACCCCUUUACAAUCAAAAUCAAUAGGCUUUAUAGCCGAAUGUUAAAAAAUAAAAAAUAAAAAAUAAAAAUAAAAAUACAAUUUUUCUUUCUUUGUUUUUUUCCUUGUUUCGUUUGUUCUCUUUCAUAGGUACGGAGUACGGGGCUGUACGUUGUCGUGUGUACGGGAGUGGGCUGGCGUACGGGAGCUGGUGUGUCGUACGGUGCGAGGGUGUGGCUGCUGGAGGGUACGGAGGCUGGGGCUGCUGUCCGGUUGUGGCGCAACUGCUGCUAGGGCUAGGCUUUGCCAAAAUUUGUUUAGUAUUUGGGCCGUUUGGGCUCAUUUUGGGUAUUGGGUUAGUCUUUGGGUCAUGGGAUUGGUUUUUGUAAAUGGGCUAUGGGCCAUUGUAGUAAUUUUUUUUGACUGAUGGACUGUAAGAGGACAUUUAAUUAAUUAUUGGUUUUUUUUGUUUCUUUAUUUUGUAUUUUGGCUUUGACGUGGGUCCGUGCAAAUUGGCCUGUUUACAGUUAUUAUUUAAAGACAUUCUUGUAUAUCAUAUUGUUUUAAAAUUUUGUAAAUAUUUAAUUUAACUACCCUUAUAUAUUAUUAUACAUGUAUAGUUUAUGAUAAAAUUAGUUUUAUUCUAUAUACAUUAUUAAUUCCAUGUUAUUUUAUGUAUAUAAUUUCUUUCAAAUCUAUUUAUAUAUGUUUCCUUUCCAACCUAUUAUGUAUAUAGUUUAUUCUUUAACAACAUAUUUUAUUAUAUUUUUUAUUUAAAAUUCUUUCAUGUACUAUUGCCCCAUUAUAUAUUGUUUACGUAUUUUUUUAUUAUAUGUAUAUUAUCAACCUUAAAUAGACAUAUUUUGUUUUUAAAAUAUUUUGUAUAUUAUUUUCUCUAAACUUAUUCUUUCAUAAUAUUUAUUUUAAUAAUCAUUUAUAUUAUUAGUGUAACAGGCCUAUUUUGCUCGGCCCGAGCCCAAACCAGUAAAAACAAAAAACAAAAAUUAAGUCCCAAAAUGUCGAUUUACAAAAUUAAAUCAGCCCAAAUUUUCAAAACCCAAUUACAAACCCAAUAACCUAAACCCCUCACCCAAUUUUUUGAUGUCCCGAUAGGCCUAAAACUCAAGCCAAUUUUGGCAAACCAGGAAACCCUAGUUUCCCCCUGGCUCCGUACCCCUCCCACGUGCUUCGUCAACACGUCCAACGCCCGAGGCUCGGCUCCCCUUGUCCUGUUGCACCAAAACGACCAUCUACAGCCCCGUUGACCCUUGGUGCGCCUGCAAAAGAAAGCAAAAAAGGAAACCAUAAAGACAACAGAGCAAAGGGUAAGAGACAG
rnacentral:lncRNA from 1 species